AGAAAGUAAAUUCAUAACAAAAGAAUACAUGAUUAACCUUUCACACUUGGGGUUGUUCAAUUUCAAUUUUUACAGGCUGGUGUGGAGAACUUUAUAUGUGGUAUUCACAACCAUAUUAGCCAUGUUAUUCCCAUUCUUCAACGAUUUCGUCGGUUUUAUUGGAGCAGCCUCAUUUUGGCCACUCACUGUCUAUUUCCCUAUUCAGAUGUACAUAGCACAAGCCAAGAUACCUAAAUAUUCAUUUACCUGGAUUUGGUUGAAUAUAUUGAGUUUUGUGUGCCUGAUCAUCUCACUUCUUG
rnacentral:misc_RNA from 1 species